AGGCACAGGACGUGAGCAGCAGAUUGUAAUCCAGUCUUCUGGUGGGUUAAGCAAAGAUGAUAUUGAAAAUAUGGUUAAAAAUGCAGAGAAAUAUGCUGAAGAAGACCGGCGAAAGAAGGUGAUUACUUUUUGUCUUCUGAACUUUAAUCUCAGUAAAGCUCAGUCUUGAAAGUGGGAGUUUGGGGCUGGGCGCAGUGUCUCACUCCUGUGAUCCCAGCACUGUAAGCCCACUGCCAAGGUGAGCAGAUUGUUUGAAGCCGGGCGUGGUGGUGCACGCCUGUAGUCCCAGCUACUUGGGAGGCUCAGGCAGGAGAAUCGCUUGAACAAGAAAGUGGGAGAGUUUGGACAUGUCAUAGGUUGUGGGUAAGAGAAAACCUAAGAUAAUCUAUUCUUCCUUCCCCGUUGCUUAUACCUUAUGUGUGCAGUGCAUUUCUUCUGUUUUCCCUGUCACAAUUCUGAUGUUACAGAAUCUAGCCCAAAUCUCUCUCAAAGCCAUCCCAGACUACUUCAUGCCACUCUGAUUUCUCCCUCUUACUGUUUUUACCUGAAACUGUAUGUAACACAUAGCUUAUUGUCUUACUGAGUAUAGACAUUUAGCAGACUUUGGUUGAUUGGAAAGUCUUCGUUUAAACUUCUAAUUUCUCUAAGGAACGAGUUGAAGCAGUUAAUAUGGCUGAAGGAAUCAUUCACGACACAGAAACCAAGAUGGAAGAAUUCAAGGACCAAUUACCUGCUGAUGAGUGCAACAAGCUGAAAGAAGAGAUUUCCAAAAUGAGGGAGCUCCUGGCUAGAAAAGACAGCGAAACAGGAGAAAAUAUUAGACAGGCAGCAUCCUCUCUUCAGCAGGCAUCAUUGAAGCUCUUCGAAAUGGCAUACAAAAAGAUGGCAUCUGAGCGAGAAGGCUCUGGAAGUUCUGGCACUGGGGAACAAAAGGAAGAUCAAAAGGAGGAAAAACAGUAAUAAUAGCAGAAAUUUUGAAGCCAGAAGGACAACAUAUGAAGCUUAGGAGUGAAGAGACUUCCUGAGCAGAAAUGGGCGAACUUCAGUCUUUUUACUGUGUUUUUGCAGUAUUCUAUAUAUAAUUUCCUUAAUUUGUAAAUUUAGUGACCAUUAGCUAGUGAUCAUUUAAUGGACGGUGAUUCUAACAGUAUAAAGUUCACAAUAUUCUAU
rnacentral:sRNA from 1 species